rnacentral:rRNA from 1 species
CCUACGGGAGGCAGCAGUGAGGAAUAUUGGUCAAUGGGCGCGAGCCUGAACCAGCCAAGUAGCGUGAAGGAUGACUGCCCUACGGGUUGUAAACUUCUUUUAUAAAGGAAUAAAGUGAGGCACGUGUGCCUUUUUGUAUGUACUUUACGAAUAAGGAUCGGCUAACUCCGUGCCAGCAGCCGCGGUAAUACGGAGGAUCCGAGCGUUAUCCGGAUUUAUUGGGUUUAAAGGGUGCGUAGAUGGGUUGGUAAGUCAGUGGUGAAAGUUUGCGGCUCAACCGUAAAAUUGCAAUUGAUACUGGCAGUCUUGAGUGCAGUUGAGGUAGGCGGAAUGCGUGGUGUAGCGGUGAAAUGCUUAGAUAUCACGAAGAACUCCGAUUGCGAAGGCAGCUUACUAAGCUGCCACUGACAUUGAUGCUCGAAAGUGUGGGUAGCAAACAGGAUUAGAUACCCUUGUAGUC